rnacentral:rRNA from 2 species
GGAUGCCCUGGCAGUCAGAGGCGAUGAAGGGCGUGCUAAUCUGCGAUAAGCGCCGGUAAGGUGAUAUGAACCGUUAUAACCGGCGAUACCCGAAUGGGGAAACCCAGUGUGACUCGUCACACUAUCAUUAACUGAAUCCAUAGGUUAAUGAGGCGAACCGGGGGAACUGAAACAUCUAAGUACCCCGAGGAAAAGAAAUCAACCGAGAUUCCCCCAGUAGCGGCGAGCGAACGGGGAGGAGCCCAGAGCCUGAAUCAGCAUGUGUGUUAGUGGAAGCGUCUGGAAAGGCGCGCGAUACAGGGUGACAGCCCCGUACACAAAAGCGCAUGUGCUGUGAGCUCGAUGAGUAGGGCGGGACACGUGGUAUCCUGUCUGAAUAUGGGGGGACCAUCCUCCAAGGCUAAAUACUCCUGACUGACCGAUAGUGAACCAGUACCGUGAGGGAAAGGCGAAAAGAACCCCGGCGAGGGGAGUGAAAAAGAACCUGAAACCGUGUACGUACAAGCAGUGGGAGCCCCACCACCAAAGCAUUUGCUGUACCGCGUUGACGGAGCGAAGCGACGUCAAACCGAUAAAACAGCAGUGUAAAGUGAGCCGCAGGGCGCUUUGCGCGACAGCGCAAAGGCAGGCGGUUUCGCGUAGCGAAAGCGAAUGCUUUGGGGUGGGGUGACUGCGUACCUUUUGUAUAAUGGGUCAGCGACUUAUAUUCUGUAGCAAGGUUAACCGAAUAGGGGAGCCGGAGGGAAACCGAGUCUUAAUUGGGCGUUAAGUUGCAGGGUAUAGACCCGAAACCCGGUGAUCUAGCCAUGGGCAGGUUGAAGGUUGGGUAACACUAACUGGAGGACCGAACCGACUAAUGUUGAAAAAUUAGCGGAUGACCUGUGGCUGGGGGUGAAAGGCCAAUCAAACCGGGAGAUAGCUGGUUCUCCCCGAAAGCUAUUUAGGUAGCGCCUCGUGAAUUCAUCUCCGGGGGUAGAGCACUGUUUCGGCUAGGGGGCCAUCCCGGCUUACCAACCCGAUGCAAACUGCGAAUACCGGAGAAUGUUAUCACGGGAGACACACGGCGGGUGCUAACGUCCGUCGUGAAGAGGGAAACAACCCAGACCGCCAGCUAAGGUCCCAAAGUCAUGGUUAAGUGGGAAACGAUGUGGGAAGGCCCAGACAGCCAGGAUGUUGGCUUAGAAGCAGCCAUCAUUUAAAGAAAGCGUAAUAGCUCACUGGUCGAGUCGGCCUGCGCGGAAGAUGUAACGGGGCUAAACCAUGCACCGAAGCUGCGGCAGCGACACUGUGUGUUGUUGGGUA